rnacentral:misc_RNA from 1 species
UUUUUUUUUCAUAUUUUAUUUGGGAGUGAGUUUGCAUCUCUUGUUUCAGACAGACUUAAGUCCAGCUUUUCUGAUUUUACAUAGUGUAACUUCACUUUUGCCCUUCAAUGUGCCUAGACUUUGAUGCUUUAGACAUCAUAAUUUGGCAAUGCUAAUUUGCUUCGCUUACAAAGUAAUACAUGACACCACAAUGUGAAUAACAAAAUUACUCUUAUAAUCAAA